rnacentral:misc_RNA from 1 species
GUGAAUCAUCGAAUUUUUGAACGCAAAUUGCACUUUCUGGUAUUCCGGAAAGUAUGCCUGUUUGAGGGUCAGUUAAAUAAAAAUCGGUGUUAUUGCUAUUAAUGGUGAUGCAUCGGAAUUGAGUCGUCUUUACCUUUGGUUUUAAGUGACUUAAAAUUAUGAAGAAUUUUUGACGGAUUUAAAUUAUUUAAUUAAGGUCAAGUAAUCA